CCAGGUCCCACAGUCUGAGGGACCCAUCCUUAGUGGGUGGGGGUGAGCUAGGGUGGGGCCUGGCUGACGAUACGACAGUGUUGAUGGCCUUUUCUGCUUUCACAUCUCGAAGCUUGGACAAGUGAUGAACUUGGGGAACGUUUGCUCAAUGAACACAGAUUUUAUGGGACUAAGUUGAAAUGCACCCCCCACCCCUUACUCCAUACUCUGACUCACAGGACCCCAAGCAGUGCUCAGUGAAGGGAUGCCCAACAAGAAGAGAGGAAGAAGGCAGCCUUUGCCUCAAGAUGCAGGAUUAUCUGCUUCCAACAUCUGCUGCCAUUGCUGGCUCUGGCCGCUGUCCCAUUUUCCUCUCAGAGCUCUCCUGGAGGCACAGGCUCCUCAGGCUCUCUGGAGCAGGUGGAAAGAACCCAUGGCUCUUCAGUCUCGAAUCCCCGUCUCUCUGCUGCCCCCUAGUGGACAUUGACGGCGCUGUCCUGAGGGAAGACUAGGUGUUUAACUUGGUGUGUUCGUGUGUUCAGAAAGGUGUGAUGAGCUUUGACUCCAACACAUUUCUGCAAACCUGCUUACCCCACUGGUUAAGGCAAGCACUGCCCUCACACAUCCUCAGUGAUGGGGAUAACCUGUCAGUUCCUCAAAUUCUCUCUCCCUCCCUCUCUCUCUCUCACACAGUUUGGUGUGAAAAGCUUGUGUAACAGCAGAGACCGUGUCUGUUUUGCUCACAGCUCUAUUUCUGGUGCCCAUCACAGGGUUUGGCACAUAGUAGGUGCUCAGUCCAUGUGUGCGGAAUGAGUAAUGCCCUCAUAGCCAUCAGGUGGCCAUGUUGCCCCCACCCCUGCUCCACCCUCCCCCUCUACAGAAGCUGUGAGAAGUGAAAGGGCAACCAGAGAAGGGGGCGGGGCGGUUUUGUGCUGGGCGCUGCCUGUACAAAGCUAAAUGUGAUGUAUCCUGGAGAGAAAAUUUUUUUUUUCUUU
rnacentral:lncRNA from 1 species